rnacentral:rRNA from 1 species
AGAAUCAACGCUGGCGGCGUGCCUAACACAUGCAAGUCGCACGAGAAAGGGACUUCGGUCCUGAGUACAGUGGCGCACGGGUGAGUAACACGUGAAUUAUCUACCUCCGAGUGGGGAAUAACUGAGAGAAAUCUUAGCUAAUACCGCAUAACACUUACGAGUCAAAGCAGCAAUGCGCUUGGAGAGGAGUUCGCGGCAGAUUAGUUAGUUGGCGGGGUAAUGGCCCACCAAGACGAUGAUCGGUA